CGGAGUGUAGCGCAGCCCGGUAGCGUACUUGCAUGGGGUGCAAGGGGUCGUGGGUUCGAAUCCCGCCACUCCGAC
rnacentral:tRNA from 1 species